GAAACGUGGGCUUUUAAUUUGAAGGUUUUCUCAUUACAUAUGCACGUGACGUCAUCGUUUGUGCUGUUGGCAGAACGCGAGCUUCCCGACCAACAUGGAGAGAAAAGUUUUAGCUCUUCAAGCGAGGAAGAAGAGGGCAAAAGCGAAGAAGUCCAGCAAGAAGUGAGUCAUUCUGCAAUGCACAAACAUACUGGCCAACAAACAUGUGUCUAAUGACCUAGUCAUUUGUUGUUGUUUUUUUUACCAAGGCGUUGAAUCAGCUCGAGGCCCAAAGGUCCAGUUUCCGUGGUGUGCUAAAAAGUACUGACUUGACUGGACGUUGUGGUCUGUGACAGUCACAUUACUACUAGACUACACGUGCUGUCCACUCCAGAUUUGCACAGCAAACUGUUCCGAUUUUUGCAAUAGCCAUCCGUUUUUCUACCACACACCAUAACACCUAGUUCAUUAUUUAUUUAGGUUGAAUUACAGUUCUGUGUGAAACUCUCCACACCCCUUCCACAGUCUUCACAUUUUGCUGCCUUAAAAUAAAAAGUGAUUACAUUCAAAUUUUCCCCCAAUUGAUCUAUACAACCUAUUCCACUUAGGAAUACAAAAUGAGGUUUUAUUGAUUGUCUUCACAUCCCAUAGUUAAUACUUGGUGAAGCACCUUUUGGCAGCUGUGAAUUGUUUUGAAUACUAAUCUACCGACCUUGCACAACUGUUAGGGUAACAUACUGUAUAUCCAUUGUUUUUGUAAAAAUUCCUCACUCAGUCAAUCUGGUUGGGAAUCAUUGAUGGACAGCAAUUGUCAAACCUGGUCUCCGAGUAUUUUUUUAAAAGCAGAUUUAAGUCAGGAAGGAGACUGGAACAUUCAGGAACACAACACCUCUUAGUUCAACCAUUACUAUGAGGGAGAAUAUGGUGUUGGGAUAAAAAAAAAAUGUUUUUUUAUUUUACCUUUAUUUAACCAGGUAGGCAAGUUGAGAACAAGUUCUCAUUUACAAUUGUGACCUGGCCAAGAUAAAGCAAAGCAGUUUGACAGAUACAACGACACAGAGUUACACAUGGAGUAAAACAAACAUACAGUCAAUAAUACAGUAUAAACAAGUCUAUAUACAAUGUGAGCAAAUGAGGUGAGAAGGGAGGUAAAGGCAAAAAAGGCCAUGGUGGCAAAGUAAA
rnacentral:lncRNA from 1 species